rnacentral:rRNA from 1 species
UACGUAGGUGGCAAGCGUUGUCCGGAAUUAUUGGGCGUAAAGCGCGCGCAGGCGGUCCUUUAAGUCUGAUGUGAAAGCCCACGGCUCAACCGUGGAAGGUCAUUGGAAACUGGGGGACUUGAGUGCAGAAGAGGAAAGUGGAAUUCCAAGUGUAGCGGUGAAAUGCGUAGAGAUCAGGAGGAACACCGGUGGCGAAGGCGGCCUACUGGGCCGUCACUGACGCUGAGGCGCGAAAGCUCGGGGAGCGAACGGG